CCGCCAUUAGCUCAUCGGGAAUAGCGACGACCUGGAAGUUGUAGUAUAGGGUUCGAGUUCUCGAUGGCGGUCCA
rnacentral:tRNA from 2 species